rnacentral:rRNA from 1 species
AUUGAACGCUGGCGGCAGGCUUAACACAUGCAAGUCGAGCGGUAACAGGAGAAGCUUGCUUCACGCUGACGAGCGGCGGACGGGUGAGUAACACUUAGGAAUCUACCUAGUAGUGGGGGAUAGCUCGGGGAAACUCGAAUUAAUACCGCAUACGACCUACGGGAGAAAGGGGGCAACUUGUUGCUCUCGCUAUUAGAUGAGCCUAAGUCGGAUUAGCUAGAUGGUGGGGUAAAGGCCUACCAUGGCGACGAUCUGUAGCUGGUCUGAGAGGAUGAUCAGCCACACCGGGACUGAGACACGGCCCGGACUCCUACGGGAGGCAGCAGUGGGGAAUAUUGGACAAUGGGGGCAACCCUGAUCCAGCCAUGCCGCGUGUGUGAAGAAGGCCUUUUGGUUGUAAAACACUUUAAGCAGUGAAGAAGACUCUAGGGUUAAUACCCUUAGACGAUGACAUUAGCUGCAGAAUAAGCACCGGCUAACUCUGUGCCAGCCGCCGCGGUAA